GCCUUUAGCAAUACAAGUAUUAAAGGUCCUGCCUGCCCAGUGAGACAUUUUUAACGGCCGCGGUAUUCUAACCGUGCAAAGGUAGCGUAAUCACUUGUCUUCUAAAUAAAGACCAGUAUGAAUGGCUAAAUGAGGACAAACCUGUCUCCUACGACCCAUCAGUGAAACUGAUCUUCCAGUCCAAAAGCUGGAAUAUUAACAUAAGACGAGAAGACCCUGUGGAGCUUAAAACCUCCUACCAAUGAGACCCCGUGCACAACUGGUAUAAGCUUUUGAGUUGGGGCGACUUCGGAACAAAACAAAACUUCCGAGCACAGAACCACCAGUUCUUACCAAGGCAAACAAGCCUAAGCAAAAACUGACCCAGUCAUACUGACCAACGAACCAAGUUACCCCAGGGAUAACAGCGCUAUCUUCUUCAAGAGUCCAUAUCGACAAGAAGGUUUACGACCUCGAUGUUGGAUCAGGGCACCCCAAUGGUGCAACCGCUAUUAAAGGUUCGUUUGUUCAACGAUUAACAGCC
rnacentral:rRNA from 1 species